UACGUAGGGGGCUAGCGUUGUCCGGAUUUAUUGGGCGUAAAGAGCGUGUAGGCGGCCUGACAAGUCUGCUGUGAAAACUCGAGGCUCAACCUCGAGAUGUCGGCGGAAACUGUCUGGCUAGAGUCCGGAAGAGGAGAGUGGAAUUCCAGGUGUAGCGGUGAAAUGCGUAGAUAUCUGGAGGAAUACCGGUGGCGAAGGCGGCAUCCUGGACCGGCAUUGACGCUGAGGAGCGAAAGCUAGGGGAGCAAACGGG
rnacentral:rRNA from 1 species